CUGGGUAGCGGCUCCUCCGCCUCGGUGUAUCGGGUUCGCUGCUGCGGCAACCCUGGCUCGCCCCCCGGCGCCCUCAAGCAGUUCUUGCCGCCAGGAACCUCCGGGGCUGCGGCCUCUGCCGCCGAGUAUGGUUUCCGCAAAGAGAGGGCGGCGCUGGAACAGUUGCAGGGUCACAGAAACAUCGUGACUUUGUAUGGAGUGUUUACAAUCCACUUUUCUCCAAAUGUGCCAUCACGCUGUCUGUUGCUUGAACUCCUGGAUGUCAGUGUUUCGGAAUUGCUCUUAUAUUCCAGUCACCAGGGUUGUUCCAUGUGGAUGAUACAGCAUUGUGCCCGAGAUGUUUUGGAGGCCCUUGCUUUUCUUCAUCAUGAGGGCUAUGUCCAUGCGGACCUCAAACCACGUAACAUAUUGUGGAGUGCAGAGAAUGAAUGUUUUAAACUCAUUGACUUUGGACUUAGCUUCAAAGAAGGCAAUCAGGUAAGAAAUAACCUUUUCUUUUCUCUCGCAGUUUAAAAUGUAGUGGUUGAAGCCAAAUAUUUUUAAAUGACAAGGGUAGUUUAGUAGGGGCUUACAAGUCAUUUUAACCUAAAUUACUGAAAUGCCAGGGGAUGCAGUAAAUCAAAAGAAUUUCAGUGCCACCGUGUAAAAAAAGGACAUAAUGUUUGGGUCAGGUAGGAGGAGCCAGUGAAGCAUGAGAGCUCUGGAAUUAUUAAAAGUACUUAACCUACAUAGAAUGGUUUUUUAAAUUUUAUGCGUGUUUGGCUAAUUGCUGAGUUACUAUUCCUGGUCUCUUCAGUGUUGGGGCUGUAUCUCGUGGCAGAAUGCAUAUGAUAGUUCUGCCAAAUCCUCUUUUCUCCAUGGUUUAUCAUUUCUUUGCAGUGUCCUUAUUAUCAGCAGUGCCUAAUAGGUAAGAGACAAUCCAAAGAAGACUUCUUUAUGAGCACUAUAUGGAAAUGUACAGCUUGACUCUGAGAACUGCCCAGUUAAUGAACCAAAGAAUUAUGGUAAUCAAGGACUAAAAAUUUUUAGCAUUUAGCUUGGCAGUGGGUUUACUGCACUCUUAGGGAAGUAAAUUCACUGUAGAGAUGGAUAGAAAGGGAGCAGCUUUUUUAUUGGUUGUAAUAUUUACUCAUCUUUUUUAGGAUGUAAAGUAUAUUCAGACAGACGGGUAUCGGGCUCCAGAAGCAGAACUGCAAAAUUGCUUGGCCCAGGCUGGCCUGCAGAGUGAUACAGAAUGUACCUCAGCUGUUGAUCUGUGGAGCCUAGGAAUCAUUUUACUGGAAAUGUUCUCAGGAAUGAAACUGAAACAUACAGUCAGAUCUCAGGAAUGGAAGGCAAACAGUUCUGCUAUUAUUGAUCACAUAUUUGCCAGUAAAGCAGUGGUGAAUGCCGCAAUUCCAGCCUAUCACCUAAGAGACCUUAUCAAAAGCAUGCUUCAUGAUGAUCCAAGCAGAAGAAUUCCUGCUGAAAUGGCAUUGUGCAGCCCAUUCUUUAGCAUUCCUUUUGCCCCUCAUAUUGAAGAUCUGGUCAUGCUUCCCACUCCAGUGCUAAGACUGCUGAAUGUGCUGGAUGAUGAUUAUCUUGAGAAUGAAGAGGAAUAUGAAGAUGUUGUAGAAGAUGUAAAAGAGGAGUGUCAAAAAUAUGGACCAGUGGUAUCUCUACUUGUUCCAAAGGAAAAUCCUGGCAGAGGACAAGUCUUUGUUGAGUAUGCAAAUGCUGGUGAUUCCAAAGCUGCGCAGAAAUUACUGACUGGAAGGAUGUUUGAUGGGAAAUUUGUUGUGGCUACAUUCUACCCGCUGAGUGCCUACAAGAGGGGAUAUCUGUAUCAAACCUUGCUUUAAUCAGUAACCUAAGGACUGUUUCCUUUUUCUCCUCUUCCAUUUCUUGGGUUAUUCCACAUAUGAAUGCAGGAUUACCCCCUUACCAUUUUAAGAAGGUACUUUAUACAUUUAUUUAAUCCUACUAAUGUGCAGCCAUUGCCCAAGCAGUGACUGCGUUGCAUACAUUUGGCACUGAGUAGGACAAGACCUCUCAGCUAUACAUUGAGGGGUUUUAGAGCAUCCAUGUGGGCAACCCUUUUUUGUGCAGGAGAGCAGGUGUUGCUCUUCAGUAUGUAGCCUAAAAAACUCUUAAUUAUUUCAUGGAUCAUGAAGCAAGGAUGAAUAAUAUCAUGUCUUGGUAAAUACUAACAAAUUUGUUAGAUUUGGUGACAUCAUUUACAGAUUAUUUCUUUAUGUUGUCCAGUGGUUCUUCCUUAUUGUUGAUAUCCAUAAGCUGGCACUGGAUGCUCUCAGUAAUGUUAAGUAAUUGUCAAGCAGCAGUUACCUACUGUGUUCUUAACACUGAGUUGUGAAUUUUUUCUUAAAGCAGUACUGUAGUACUGAAUAUUCCUCUAAAGGAACUGCAGUGAGCCUAAGUUUUUUUAAAUUAAGGCUUUUAAAAUAGAAAGCUGAUGCUUGAUCUUGCACAAUUUUUAUGUCUAGUAUGUAUGCUUGAGUGAAUGUGCGAGUAUGAAUGAUUAGAGAAAAUUUGAGUCAGUGUACUUCAUAGUGUGAAUCCUGUGAGCUAAUACAGUCUAUACUCAUUUCUUCCCUACCUGUUUCACAUCCGUAAGAUUUAGGAUAUACAUUUUUUGAGAGGUAGUCUGUCUGAUACAAUGUAAAUGACAAAACAUAAUUCCUGAGAGGCCCAGAACAAACUGGAGUCUAGCCUGGAGUUAAAUUGAGACUUCUAAAAUGAUUGGAACAAAGACUAAGUUGUGCCAGAUGUAAAUCAACCCCUCUUUUAGUUUACUUUAGACUUUGUAUUAGCUCAUCUUUUUUGUAGUAAAUCUAUAGUUUUAAGGUUUCUCAAGAUGUGGCUCUACCUACUAUGAUGAAAAUUGAAGUGGGUCAAAAGAAUUAGAUGUACAGUGAAGGGAAAAGAAAACAAAUGGGCGAAGAGAGGGUGGAAAAUAAAAGGAUUCUUUUUUCUUCCUUUCUGUUUCUCGUAUCCCUGCUCCCUUUUUCCUCCCCUUCCCUCAUUCUUUGCCUCUAUCCUUAGCUGAAGACAAACUAGAGGAACAGCAUCCCAGGUAGUUUGGCUUUUGACUGCAAGGUAGUUAAGAAAGGUGUAGAUACAAUGAGGUAGAAGUAGAAAGGAAGAAAAACUCAAAGAAUUCUUAAAAGGAUUCAUAGCAACCUAAUGUGUCCCUGAGUAGAGGAUGCUGCUGUGCGUGAGUUCAUGGACACAAGUUGAUUACAUGGUUUUUAGAAUUAUAAUUAUGGAUUCUUAUUUCAUGGUAGGUUGUCUUUAAAGAUAUAAAAAUUAGGAUACCUUUAUGAAGCACUGAUUAUACC
rnacentral:sRNA from 1 species